GUUCGUAAAUGACAAUGAGAUAGAAGGUGAUACAUAUGUCGAUUAUUAUGAUUCGAAAGAAGAUCUACACAUCAAAAAAGAUACGAAUAUUGAUAAGUAGAUCUAUAUUCUUUGUUCAAUCUUCUCUUACGAUAAUGGUAUGCGAUUUAACUUUAUUCAUUAUAAUGUAAUUUAAUUUUUAUUAUUGUUGUUCAAUAUUAUGUUCAUUUAUAUAUCA
rnacentral:lncRNA from 1 species